rnacentral:misc_RNA from 1 species
AAUACACUCGGGCAACACCCCGGCCUUCCCUGUCUUCUGCUUUUCGUUAUACAGCAAACUUGAGCGAGACGGGUGCUGCUACCGACGGAGUUCUUCCUCUGUCCUGCCUUCCCUGGUUCUUUUCCUCCCUUCUCUCCAUUUCCUGCACAUCUUUCGGUGUCGCGAACCAGAGACCUUGUUCGUCUAACUUUGGCAUCGGACUUCGCGCGCCGAGCAAGGAGUCUGUACUUCUCUGUGUGCGCGUGCAGGGUGCACUUCCUUUCUUUCUAUCCUCUUUCACACGCGCAAAGUUAACAAGAAGGAAGGGUUCUUCUUACCCCUCUUUCCGCCCACCUCCCCCCUCCUCUUCAGCCACUCUUGUCUUUUGGUUUCUUUCCUUCGACUCUAAUUCGAUGUGAGCAGAGCCGUAUCACGCUGCGAUUCCUUGUUCCACACGCACAUUCACCUUCACUGUUGUAUGCUUGUGCGAGCGUGCUCAACGCGUAGGUCUGUGUGUCGCUACUCUUACUCGAUUCUUUCGCUUGCUUCCGUAUUGAGGGCGUACCAAUCUGUCUGCCGCUGCGACGCCGCAUUGCCAUCAGCUCGGCCUUUGCCCUGCUUGCCUCUCCUCUGCCUCUGCUGCGUGGAAAGGAGGUAGGGAGCCCGAGCUGCAAAAGAAAAACAGGGCGACAUUGACUUCAUCCUCGUUUUUCGAGCCGGCGCACCCCUAGCACAUCGUUGUCUGCUCUCUCCCCCUCUUUUGUUUAUGCUACGUAGUGUAAAUGCGUCAAGAUGGCCGGAUGAACAGUCAACUAGAGUGCGCAUGCGACGGGGUGAACGAAAAACCCUUGGCACGCGUGUCGCCGCGCGCGCAUUGGUCGCGGUCCGAAGAGGAGGGGCAAGCGCGGAGAAGCGGCAGUAGCAGUCGUGUCGGCUCGACUUCUCCGACCACGGCGAGCAGCAGUAGCACCUCCAACGACCGCAGCAGAGAGUCUGCGCUAGCAAAGCACCGAGUAUCUGCAUCUGGUUCUCAGCCGACCGUCUUCGCACCCCCCUCCACACCAUCGCCGCACUACGGCUUCCGCAGGAACACUGCAAACAUAAUGGCAGCUGGUCGCCGUGUGUCUCAUCGGAGCACGUCUGUACCGUCUGUCGCCGCUGGUGAUCGGGGUACCACACAGGCAACGCCGUCUGGGAGAGUAGAAGCAGUGCUACCUAGCUCUCACAACACCAGGCACAUAGGCGGCGCCACGGCGAAUGGAUCGGCGGGCAGGGAGGACAACUGUAGCGGCUACGACGACGGUCUUAAUCGCUCGUCUCACAUUGUGCGGCGCCGCGCCAACGAGGUAGUGAGUGGUGCGGGGAUGAACUCCACAGCACCUGGGACUCUCCCAGGUAGCCACGGACACUUCAAUCAGUACACAGGGGCGUCUGGGGCAGUGUCGGGGAGAAGCGCAGCAGGUGACCGCUACGCGAUGCUGCGCGGCUACAAUGGCGACCACUUUUUUCAAAUGGACGACGUCGAAGGCGCUCCAGCCUUGAUGGAUGAAAAGGACUGCCCUGUCAAGGAGUUUGAUCGACAGACUCGAUAUCGCUAUCCCGUACUUUGGCGGGCAGCUAGCAGUCCUUCCGCUCCAUCCAUCGCCAAUGAAAGCAGCUCAUCGCGUCACCAGCACCAGCAGCUUUCGCCGCGCUUGCAUCUUCACUCCUCGCCGCCGGUGUCGUCUUCCGCUGAGGAAAUCGCGCGCACUGCUUCGCCGGAGCUGGGCACCCACCGAGAUGGGAAAGACAAUGGCGAAGAGGCAAAGGGGCCCCGACACUACUCUCGCCAUGCCGGAGUCUCGACCUCUCUAGCUGUCGAGUCACCACCUCAAGACUCCGCGGCGUCCUCGCCAGCAACGUUGUCGGCCCGGUUCGCGGGGUUUACAGCGGCGCAGCAGCAGCGUUUUGAGAGUCUUCAAGAACGCGGACCACCAGGACACGAAAUCGCGCGGUGGAAAAUGUUGGAGCUGAUGCGGCACUGGAUGAGCAUGCCAAGCACUCGAGCCGGCCUCGACGCAGUCAUUCGAGACGUGCUCGUGGACGCUGGAAUUGCAAAGGCGAAGGAGGCAUGGGGUGGCAGCGAUGCCUGCACUGCAGCGUCACGCGACAGUGCGUCCUCUCUGCAGCUACAGCAACGUGGUGGCACCAUCCAGCCCGUCGCCACAUGCGCCAACCCACCUUCGACGAAGGCGCCGCCGAAAAAGGUGUCCCCCAAGAACAAACUGAUUACCACGAGCGUAGCACUCGAGUCGGACGGUGAGCCUCCCUCAUCCACUGCUCACGGCGAGGAGGACAAGAGAAAGCUGGAGUGCAGCAAGGAAGGUCCGCGGCCUUUGGCUGACGAAGCCCCAGCUCCAUCCGUCGAUCAGGCCACUCCUGCUUCCACUCCGACUCCGCACGCCGUUGCGAUUGCAUUUUCCUCUCCUGCACUCGCUGUGCGAGGGACAACGUUGCCGCCAGAUGAGGCGACCCCUUCGGCGAAUGGUGCUAGGGUGCGCUCGACUAGUGCCCGUCGGCGCCGACGUAAAAGUAGAAAGGGUGCCGUUUCUGCACAAGAGAGGCGGGUGCCGCCUGCGGAUGGAUCGCGUUCGCCAACCCCGCAGGAUGUCAAAGGGGACACUGACGAAUUCGCUGCGUUGCCCGUGGCGUCACUGACACCAGAGAAGCAUGUAGCACCCCUGACGCCGAGAAGUGGUGUCUCGCUUGGUACGGCGGCAUCGCGCGAGCGUACAGAUGCCGCGAGCGACGCAAGAGCCUCGCCGCACCGAUACACGGAAUCGCCGUCCUUGCAUCAUUCGUCAUCGGAGGAGGCUCUUCCCGACUCCUCCCACAACUCCCCCUCUCCGCGCCAGCGGAGCCGCAGCAACAACCUAAGAGCAGCGCCGUCGCGGCGGGAGGCCACAUACGAGGAGAUACCUCGCUUCUACUUCCCCCUCGGGCGCCCGACUACGCGAGAGAUGAUGAUCAGCGGACCUCUCUCCAGCAAGCACGAGAACCCUCAUUUAAAGAUUGCCGACGGCGUCUCCAUGUCGGCCCCUAUGUACGACGGAGGGGAGAGCAGCCGCGUGGGCGCGAACGCGGGGGCGCUCGUUGGAACCAGCAAAGACAGCGUACUCUUUCCCGAAUCGCGACGGGCGCAGAAGGUGGCGCCGAUGUCACAGUUGCACGCGCUCGAUGACCGGCAGGUGGCGCAUUACAUUCAGCGCGAGUUUGGCCGUCUUCCGCCCCUUCCUAGACAUUCUCAGCGGGUUUGGCUGCUGGGUGGACGUCUGCGCAGCGGUAGCCACAACCACACCAAUUUACCCUUCGCUAAGCAGGAGCUCCUGUACAGGCAGCAGUUUAUUCAGUGCGUGCAACGCCUGUGUUCCCAGUGCUUUGGCGUCCCGCGAUAUUUCGCCUUUGUCAUAUUGCGCCUUAUACAGUGGGAGAUGCACAAUGGGAAUGCUGACGCGGCAGAGCAUCGUAGUCCACCUCAGACCCGCCACGGCAACGGUCGCCUGGGGUCCUCAUCGUCGCUAAUGAGUCACACAGCCAACGGCGGCGGCAGUGGUGCGACUGGACUGCCAUCCGUUUUUCUCAUCACCGCGCAGCACAUGAAGAAUUUCUACGAGGCCUACCUGAAGAACAAGGACAUGGUGAGGCGCAUUUUCGACCUGCUGAUUCUCUCUUCCCGCCUGCCGACCUCGCCAGCAGCAGCGGCGUCGCUGGCGGCUAUGAGCGCAGCAACAGAGACAAACGACCAGGCUGCGGCGACCCCGGGACCCUCCUUUAGCGCGUCACCCCUGCGGUCCUUUUUGCUACCCAAGGACUUUGUCGCCUACAUUAAUGUUCUCCUCACUUAUCACCCGGGGCUUGCGUUUCUGCGGCAGACACCUGAUUUCCAGACCAAGUACCUCGACACCGUCAUCUACCGCAUCUUCUACGAGCUCGACCGCUUUGACCGGGGCUGCAUUAGUUAUUCGGAGCUGGCUGCGUCGCGGCUGAUCGACGCCUUUCGUCAGGUCGAUUCUGCUGAGGACAUCAACAUGGUACUUCUCUUCUUCUCCUACGAGCACUUUUACGUGCUGUACUGCCGCUUCUGGGAGCUAGACGAGGACCGCGACAUGCUACUGGCACCAGAGGACCUCAUGCGGUACGCCCCGGAGGAUGUUAUGAACCCGUGCAUUGUGCAGCGCGUCUUUGCUGGGGUCGGGCGGCGGCGCCGCUGCAAUGUGCCGCAUCGCAUCGGCUACGAAGAUUUUGUUUGGUUCUGCCUCUCGGAGGAGGAUAAGUCCACACCGCAAGCUAUCCGCUACUGGUUUCGCGUUCUUGACCUGGACGGGGAUGGGGUGCUUUCUGUCUAUGAGCUACGCCAGUUUUACAACGCCACGUGUGACAAGAUUGCCCAGUACGUGCAGGAAGGGCUGGUCACUUUCGAGGACGUCGUGUGCCAGGUGUUCGACAUGAUGCGGUGCUCUGAGUAUCGCGGGCUCUUUCUUUCAGACCUCAUGCGGGAGCCUGAGGCGGCUGCGGUGGCGCUGAACCUGCUGACGAACGUGGUGAAGUUCUUGCAGUUUGAGCAACGCGAUCCGUUUGUAGCGCACGAGGAGCGCUUGCUCGGUGGCCCAGAGCAGUCAACAUGGGACCGCUUUGCCCGUCUAGAGUACGACCGCAUGGCGUUGGAGGCAGAUGGAGAGGAUUGACCACCGUCUCUCCCCUUCUGCAUACGACAGAGGCCACCUGCCUGUGAGGCUGUUGGGGAUGGUGCUGACCUUUUCUUUUUACUGCCACUCCAUCGUUUGCUACUGUGUGCCCCUUAUCUCACGUUGCUCCGUGGCAGCCUAGUAGGAUGCUACACACGCCUCUGCUUCUCCUACCCCUUUGUUCUCCUUGUGUCCUCGUUGUCGCCCUCCACUGUGAGCGGGUGAGGGCUAGCAGUAUGCUCGCCUGGCGUUUGUCCCAAACCCACCACCGCAUCCUCCCUCUCUUUUCUUUUCUCCGGCUCUUUGUGUGUUUGUGUGUGUGUGUGUGUCUUUGUGUGUGUGUACAUGUAUCCCCCCAACUCCCCUCCCUCUACCUCCUCUUGUCAUUGCUUUUUCGUGUUGGCGUUGUUGCCGCCACCUCCCCUCCCCUCCCCUCCCCCCUUCUUCUAUCCCGUUUCAAGCCUGUUCUCCCUUCCUUUCUUUUUUUCGUUUUCCUCCUAUCACGCGCUUCUGCACUCAUCGCUGCACGCAUCACGGUGUUUGGCGCCUUCCAUAGAGUUCUGAGGCAAUAUGGCAGAAGCGCAAAGAGGACUUCCAGAUGCGUGCAAACACAAACACACACACACAUCGGUGAGGACUUACGCGUAAGCUACUGUACUCCUCUCCAUUUGCGCGGCUCAGGAAAAAACCAAAAAAAAAGAAAAGCAUUGUUUUCUCAUUUUGCACGUUUGUGUGACCUCUUCGAACAACAACCAAAAAGGGGUGGGGUGGGGGACGCGGGGGAACGCCGGCAGCGUUACCAUUGGCACUCGCACAUACAUCAGGACUUGUUUGCUGCUCUUUUCUUCCUCCUCUCCUUCCUCUGUUUUGCUGUCAGUGCUGUUGCUGCUCCACUCCUGGCUUUUUACCCACCUUUGUUUUUUUUUUUGCUUUUCUUCAACGUUCAUACCCUGAUAG